rnacentral:lncRNA from 1 species
UAAAAAGUAAGAAAUAUUUUAUAAGAGACAAAGUCGCUAAAGACUCUUCCUUAAUGGUCGUGACUCCGCAUAUUCUUCUCUGAUUUAAAAGCUAAUAACAAAACUUAAAAUUCUCUUCUUUCAAUAGAAGGGAAAGAAACCAAAUUAAAACUAAACGAAGGGCCUCAAGAAGGUAAUUUAUUACAUAAACAAAAGUGAAAAUCAAAUUAGAUGUUUUGCUUGUUCCACUGGAAACAUAAAUCACACUCACUUGACGUAACAUUGAACAAGCAAGGACCGUUCUUAUUUACCAGCCAAAAACAUUCUUUGCAUUUGGACUCAUCUCUUUUAGCUACAUGGAUAUCAAACCAAUGAAACUCUCCUUUCCAUGCCAUGCUGCAAAAGUACAACGUAGUUAGAACGAAACUGGAAACUCAAAAGAUUCUUAGAAAUGGAGUAAUUUGAGGCGAAAAUCAUCAUUUUUGGACUUGCAAUGAAGUUGAAGAUGCAACUCUCCAACUAAUCCGUUAGUGACACGAACAUGGAACUCUUCUUUAAAUAUACUGGCGUAGCAUGUUGUCGCUGUUAGUAACACAAACAUCAUUAGAACACAUUGUCUAAUGAAAGAACUCGUGAUUAGUAUUACUACUCACUCUUGCUAGUGAUUAAUUUCUUAUGGAUAUGGGUUCUUAGGUACUUGUCCGAUUGAAGUUUUUAUAAGUACCAUGUUACUUGCCUCUGCUGCAUGCCAUAAAAUUGGCAAAACCUUGGUCAACGAAGGUAGUAAUGAUUUUACCAUAAUUUACUUGCUUAAUUCGUGGAAUUUGUAUAUGUUCACAUUCCUUAUAGAUUUGGUGACAAAUUCUGCAGGCUAUGGUUAUCUGAUGCGAUUUAACUGUCUUUUUUUAUUAAUACAGUUCAUUGUUUCCAAAUAAAUAAAGAUAAAUGUACUUUCCUUCUCGAUAAGUCAAACUCAACCAAAUGACAAAUUAAAAGAAAAACUUUAACUAUGGGAAUGUUAAUAUUGCCUACACGGACUCACAUUGAAUUAAAAAUAUAAAGUAAUAUUGGAAUUUUAUAGCCUAAAAAUACAAAAUAAGAAUUUGGAUAAAUUUUGUAAUAUUAAAUUAAAUUUCUUUUUUGUCUAAACUUAGUGUAUGUUUUUACCUAUACAUCAAAUCGAUAGAUAAUUAAUAUAUAUUUAUUAGUUUUAAAUCAUAUAACGUAUCAAUUAUUUAAUACUAAAAUAUAAAAAAUUCAUACAUAAAUGUUACUUUAUUAUUAAUUGUGAUGUAUAUACCAAAUUUAUGUAAGAAUUUGAUAGAUCAUAAAUAGUUAUACUUAUUGUGUUUAAUUCCCUUAUAUUUUGAUUGGAUAUUAUGUUUAAUUGUGAAAAUUGUGUUUGUUCUGAUCUAUGUGGUGAAAUGUUAAGGAUUCAGCAGAAUUCAGCUUAAAAACAUAUUUUAAAGCACCACUUAUCAAAAAUCAAGUCUUUUGGAGGAAAAGUGAAAAUGUAUGCACAAUCUCAUUUUCAACAAGGCGUGACCACACCCUACAAUCUAUGAGCUGCUAAAAUCUGUUGAAGAGAAUCUCAAAUUUUUUAAGUUAAAUUCGUGGACUUUUGUGUUAUGUUUUUUAUUUUGGAAGUGCUGAAUAAAGAAAACUGUGUCCUACAAUAUGUAAGGCUUUAUUUGUUUAGAUUCUCUUUUAUUUUAGCUUUUUUUAUGGGAUUAAAAUUAUAUAAGAAGUUUAUUUCUUUCUGGAUAUGGAUUAUUUUAUUAGAAUUUAGGUUUGACUUUCUAUAUAAGGAGGCUAGUUUUACAAAAGGGGGAUGGCUUUGAGCUUUUAUAUUUUUUAUUUUCUUCCUUUAUUCCCUACAACUCUUGUGAAUUUUUACUCCACCAUGUGUGGCUAAGCUUUUAAUUUCUCAUUCAAGAGUGAAUAAGUUCUUAUUGUGAUUUUAUGAGGCUUUGUGCUUAACAGAAUUUCUUCUUUAAUUCAAGUAUUCUUUAUUUUUUGUCUUUAUUGUUUAUAAAUUUUUAAUAUUGAUUGAACUGACGACUCAAUUUGAUAUUGAUUUUUCUAUUGUUAUCCUUGAGUUGUGAUCCGUAAUUGUCAUGAACGAUUGACACAACUAACAAUGAAUUGGUUCAUGUGUGUGUGAUUGCAGCCUUUCCGAAUUACAUAGCUUGCAUGAUAGGUUCUAAGAAAAUAAGGAAACAAGAUUAAUUCAAUUGCAGCUAUCUGGAUUAAUUAAUGUUGAUUUAGUCAUUCUCAUUAUUCUUAAUGCUAUCAUUGAGUUGAUAUGGAACGCUAUUGUGCCCAACUGAUUAAUGGUAAGUUUUGAUUUGGAUGCUAUGUUUGAGUCAAUUAUAUUAAGAGAAUUUACACUUGUUGCGGCUUUUCCAAAUAAGUAUACUAAGUACUUGAAUAGAAAAAUUGAUAUUUAUUCCUAUGAUCAGAAUUAUGAUCGGAUGGAAUUUGCACUCUUAAAUUGAAAAAUUUGGUAAGAUUGAUUUUUAUUUACUUUAAUAUUCAGCUUUUAUUAUUUUUUUAUUUAUAAUUUUAGUUCAAUGAUUCAAACCCCCUAUUUUUGUUAUUUAAUUUUGAAAAUCUAUUCACAUUUGAUCUAUUGGAAUUCAACCUAGUUUCACUAUUUUUACAAGUUAAUUUAGAAAAUCAGUAAUUUAUUUUAAAAGAUUUUGACGAUCCGAUCAAAAUUUCUUAAUUAAAUUUUCCUUUUUAAAAUUAUCGUAAUAACCGAUGACCAUGAAGAGUUAGUUUGAGUAAUAGGCAUGUCUACUCUUUAUGCUAUCACUCUGAAUUUGUUUCUAACAUGUGGAAUUUAAAAAUUAGUUGUUCAAUAAAUAGACCGAUAAUAGAAUGUGUAUUUACACUAAAAAAAUUAUAUUAUUAUCAUUUUUUAUGUUAGCCGAUAUAGUAUGACAAUCCAAUAAGAGUCAAUAUAUAGAAAAUAUAAACUAAUAAAAAAUUUAUACCCACUAAAGAUUUAUUAAUAAUUAAGAAAAUAAAACUACUAAUUUAUUAUUCAAUUUUUUUUAAUUUUUAAUUAAAUUGUUAUUUUAUUGACGUAGAAUUUCCAAUCCAUACUAUAAAAUAUUCCUUUAAACUUGUCUGAAUUGUUCCUAUCAUACUAUGCCUAAUUGGUAGAACGAGUGAACAAAAUAUAUAUUCAAACAAUUUGGAUCUUCGAUAAUUUUAACAUAUGGCUUUGAUUUAUUUCCAGAAAAAUAAAAUGAACACAAAUCAAGCAAACUUUAAUAUCCUUUUCUUUUUACUUUGUUUCGGUCACAUGUAAUCAACUCAUUUACUGUAAUCCCUGCUUUCGUCAUAAUAUCAAACCAUUCGAACCGCUCUUUCCAUGUUGUGAAUAACAACACUAGUAUAUUGGUUGAUGAAAUAAGUCAUUUUGAUUAGGGCAAAUGUUAAAUAUUUCUUCUAUACUAUUUCAAAAUCUUCAUUGUCUGAUGUGGCAUAUAAUGUUUUUACUAUUUUUUUUCUUAAUAUCUUGAGAUUAAGGGACAAAUUUUUAAAUAUAUUACUAAAUUUGCCCCUCGGUUUAUUAGAAGUGAGUUUUUUAUCUCUUACAUUAUGCAUGGAUGAAAGGUGAUCUAAAAGAAAGAGAAACGAAUAGAUGAAGAAUUAGUUUUAAUUGUGUUUGACAAAUAAGAUAUUUUAAGAAGAGAAAAGAAUUGAAAAGAAAUGAUUCCCCUUCUUUCUCCUUGUAAAAUUAAAAUUUGAUUAAAUCCUAAUUUAUAAUGUAAAAAUUUAAACUCAUAAAAAAAUUAAAUUUUAUUAUUAUUUAUCUCUAUUAUUAUAUAAAAAUCCAAAAUUAAUUAAUUGCCCUCCCUUCCCUGUAAUGAAAUUUUUAUAUNNNAAUGAAAAUUUUUAUAUAAUCAAACACAAUAGGAUAAAUAUUUUCUCUUCUCUUCCCUUUAAUUAUCUUUCUUUUUUUUUUUUUAAAUAACUUCCAUCAUUGCUAUGUAUAAUGUUAGAGAAAAAAAAAUUCCAUCGAAAAGAAGACCUAAAAGCCUUAAUUUACUUUAAUAUUCCAAUAAAUAUAAAGGAUAAUAUUAUUGUAAUAAAAUAAUAUAACGAAAUACAAAAGAAGAGUACUUUAAACUGACCGUUACAAAGAUAUGAAAAAAAAAAUCUUAUGAAUAUUACAUAAUUCUUGUCAUAGAUCUCUUAUUAUAGGUAUGAAGUAAAAGACAAGCAAUACAAACAAUGUUAUUAGACUUCCUUCUAAUUCCAUUUAUAGCAUAUAUCGUGUUGCUUAGUCUUUUUAUUUAACAAACAUGGACCUUUUUGUUUUAUCAGCCAGACGCAUGUGUCGCAUUUGUGAUCAUCUCUGUCGUUAACAUAUAUAUCAAACUUUUGAGUCACUCCUUGCCAUCCGAAACUGCAAAAGUAUAAUGUAGUCCUAAAAAAAUUAGGACGAAACUUAAACUCAAAAGAUUGUUGGUUCGCCAGUACUUUGUCACCAAAAUCAGUAUUUUUAGACUUGCAACGGAGUCUAAGAUCUAUAUUUCCUUCUAAUCCAUUGAUCACUCGAACAGUGGCUUUGUUAGGAAGGAGAAAGGCAUCGCAUGUUGAGAUUAGCAACACAAACACAAUUAGAGCAUAUUGUGUUAUGGAAGAAGUCAUGAUUACAAUAUUGUUCUAACUGUGAUGAUUUUUGUGAGAUGGGUUCUUGUGUUUCUGCCGUAUUGAGUUUUUAUAGAUGAAAUUCGGACGCUGGUGUCCAUUGGGCUAAAAAUGGCAAAACCUUAAUUAGCAAAUAGUAAAUUCUUUGUCCAUUCAUUUGUUCCCUUCAUUUAUUUGUUGUUUUUGGGUAUUAACUAUUAAUAGAUUUCUUUUUUUUUUUUUUUCUUUCUUAUUCCUUGAAGUUCUGACAUGGUUUCAUCUAAUGCACUUCAAUUGGUACCCAUUUUUCUCCUCUUGUUUUUUUUUUUUUCAUUUAUAGUUGGUAUUUCUGCAGGUUAUGCUUAUUUGAUGCGUUUUAGCUGUCUUCUUAUUAGUACAGUUCACUGUUUCCAAAUAAAUAAAGAUUCAAUAAGUCAAAUUCAAACAAAAGAAAAAGGAAAAUGUUAAUUAUGGGAAUGAACUCUAUAUUGCUGAUACGGGAGAAAAUACGGUGAUUCAAACUAUAUAAAGUAAUGUUGAAAUUUUUAUAGCCUAAAAGUAUUUUUGAAUUUUUAUAGCCUAAAAAUAUUUUUGAAUUUUUAUAGCCUAAAAAUAAGAAAUCAUAUAAUUUGAAUAAAUUUUAUGAAAUUAAAUUUUGCUCUUUGAAACUCUUUUAACAACCCAUGACCAUAAGGAGUUAGUUUGAGUAAUAGGUAAGUCUAUUAUGGCAUGCUCUUGAGUUUCAUUUGUACACGUGGAAUUUAAAAAUUGAUUAUCAGAUAAUUAACCGAUAAUAGAAUGUGUCUUUGAAUUAAGAAAUUAUAAAAUAAAUCAUAUUUUUUAUAUUCAUAUUUGAUAUGAAAUGACAAUUCAAUAAAAAAAAAUUAACAUAUAUAUAAAUUUAUAGUAACAAAAUAAUUUAGGAAAACUACUCAUUAACUAUUUAUUAACGACUAAAGAAUUAACUUUUCUUUUUUAUGAAAGGCUCAAAAGGCCAUGAACUAUUUAUUCAUUGUUUUUAUUUAUAAGAUGUCUAACAAGCCAUGAAUUAUAUAACAAGAAUAGUUAAUUAUAUUUAUAUUCAUAAAAGGACAUAAAAACUCACUUAAUAUGAAUGAAAUUACUUAAUUUAAAAAAAAGAUUAUUCAUAAAAAGAAAUACUUUUACCAUUUGAGUUAGGCUUAUAAUGUAAAAUAAAUGUUUAUUCACUAUUCACUAUUCUCUUUAAAAAAAAAUUAUUUAACUGGAAAGUUUUUGUCUAAACUAGGUAUAUGUCUCUACUUAUACACCAAAUCGGUAGAUGAUUGACAUAUAUUCAUUAAUUUUAAAUAAUAAAGUAUGUGUCAGUCAUACAAUAAUAAAAUGUAAAACACUUAUAUAUACGUGUCACCAUUUUUUUAUUAAAUUGUUAUUUCAUAUGUGAGAUGUUUAUAUAUUAUAAAUAUUUUCUUUUAAAUAUCGGACUAUGCCUGAUUGGAGAAGGAGCGAGCAGAAUAUAUUUUUAAAUUGUCAAAUGAUCAUUAAUUUAUUUCCAGAAAAAUAAGACGAACAGAAAUCAAACAAACAUUAAAUAAGUUUUUUCACUUUGUUCCACUCAUAACAGGUAAUGAACUCAUGACUCGUAGUAUCUGUGAAGCAAGGACCAAAAGGUCUUAUUGUGUAGUAACAAAACUCGCAUUUACUGUAAUCCCUGCUUUCGUCGUAAAUAUCAAACCAUUCGAACCGCCCUUCCCAUGAAAAGCUACAAAAGAAGAGUGUACUUCCCCAAAAAUUAGGCUUAAACCUAAACUGAAAGGAUUCAUGGUCAUGCAAUAGUUGGAUACCUAUGUCGUUAUUUUUGGAUUUACAGUGCACUGUAAGGGGCAAUCCUACACCAUUAGUGACUUUAACAGUUGUUUCGUCUUCGCCAGGAAAACCUUCAGCAGAUGCCAUGGCCAACACUAGUAGACUUAGAAGCACGAGACCAUUUUUGCUACUUGUGAAACCACUCAUGUUUAGCUUCACUAUUGAUGUUGCUUUGGAGUGUUCUUCCUCUUUUCUUUAUUGGGUCCUAUUUGGGUUUGGACUAUUAAGUUUUAUAGUUGCCAUUGCAUAUCAUAGAAAUAAGUCUGAUGUGCAGAAGAGGUAAUGAACAACUAGAUUUCUAACCCUUUUUUGGAAAAUAUAUUUAAUUAUGCUCUGCUUAGUGUAUAUAUAUAAUAUAACCGUCGUAACGAUUUUAUUGAAAUAUGAUUUUAAUAUUACAUCAUACUUGUAAUUCUUUAUAGCCCCGGAAACGAUUUUAAUACCGCUAAACUAAAUCUUUUCAGACAUUCUUAAUCUUUAUCAUAAGUUUCUUCAAACAUUGAUGGGGCAAGCUGUAACUGAAAACAUAGUUGGGCACAAGCAUCCGUUUACUUGGCCUUCAAUGGAAAUGAACGAGGAAAAAUUGGUUAAGUUCUGAAUAUUUAAAAGUAUUGCAGUAAAAUAAAAGGAAAUAUGGAUAUCUAGAAAGGACAAGAAAAAUCUUGUCUGCUCCAAUUAUAUUUAUUGGCCAUGAUACAUGUUUCAAUGGCAGGUGAAUUUAUUUCCAAUUUUAUCACAAAAGUUUAAUUACAGAAAGUGCCCGGAAAGCUUAUGAUACGAACUCGAACCAGAUACAUUCAACCACCAAGAUAGGCUAGUGGAUCCAUAUUAGUUGAUUUGGAUGCAUCCUUGGUUUCAUAAUUUUACUUGUGUAAUUUGGUCUAAAAUAAAAACGAAAUUUUGUGUGUUGUACAUAAAUUAUGGGCUAUAAUAAUUAUUCUUUUAUAGUAAUCUUUUUUGUGAAAAUAGUAUUUACUUCUUUUCCCGCUAAAGUUCUUUACAGAUAAGUAAUCUCCCUAAGUUUCUGUUCUACCAUUUUCCCAAAAAAAAAAAAAAAAAGCUUUAUUUAGGCUACGUUGCACAUGAUAUCCUUCUUUCUAUAAUCACGUAUGUAUAUUUAUUAAAUGUAUAGAAACAAAUUACAGUUGAUAAGAGCUACUAAGCCACUGAUCUUAUCCAAAUACCCACAUGACAGAUGUAUAUAGUAAGACAAGCAAAAGAUCCUUAAUCAAUGAUAAUCAUUCAUGAUCAGAUAAUGGUCAUUCUAUAAAUUAUAAAAAUUGUACCACAUCAAAAAGAAAAUUCCGAAUUGUAACUGGUGAAUAAAAGUUUAAGAGAAUUUAUAGAUAACAUUGUUAAAGUUAAAAAAUUACGUUAAAUUUGUAAAAUAGUAAAAUCAUAUUUAAGAAAAUCUGAAAAGCUGAAAAAAGAAUUGAGGAAAAUUAAAUUUUACAUAGAGUUUCUAUAUUCUCUCUCUUUAUCAGGUGUAUGCCACCAAAGGAUUGUUCAUCAGUCAAAAUUCUCAGGACGAUCCAUCAGCUGGGGUGCUUUGAGACCAAUCGAUAAAGCCUCUCUACGUGUCGCAUAAUGCAGCAGCAACCUCCAAAUAAAACUCCCAUGAUUAAUCUUAAUCACUGUAUCAUGGCUCUAAUAAAUAUCAAUUUAGACCAACUUUGUGUUUAUUUGACUCGACAACUCCGACAACUCUUGUCAUCAAACAUAUGAAAGUACUGUGCAGAAUUGGAGUUUUUAGAUACAGUUCCUCUACCAAUAGUGCUUCCAUGAGACAUAGGAUAAGCUGCCUUAAAGUUGCUUAUAUUCAAUCUGAAUGGCUAUCUGAAUUAUGGUAUUGCUAUCUUUUCACAUUUAUUUUUCUGGACCUAACAAGGGUCUCCAUUGCUUUUGAUUUAGGUUGGGUAAUACUGUGAGUGAUGUUGAUAAUCCAUCUCUUGCAUUCUCUAAUGCUAGGGCAUAUAGAGGGGACACAGUAAUAUAGGUUAGUGAUCUCUACAGUUUUUUUUUUUUAUUAACCAAAGAGAAAUAAAAAUAAAGACAUAGAACGCUAUCAGUGAUAGUAACUCUUGCUGAGCAUGUUAUCAUACAAACUCUUUUCUAUUGCGGGAUAUUUAUAGAUCCAUAACUAAAAGAAACAAUCAAAAUUUUACCUAAAUAUUCUUAUAAGGGGCAUAAACGCAAUAAGAACUGCCCCCUCUAGGCUUAGAAUCCAUAUUCUUGUUGUUUAGUGAAGGACUUUCAACUGCUAAAUUAUCAUUCUUUGCAGCAGUGAUCUCUAUAGUUAUUAUGUCUAAUUAAUACUUAUAUCAAUUCUCUAAUAUUUUUUUCAUAUGACGGUAAAAUAUACCACGUUUAAUUUGUUCAACUAUUGAAAGUAUGCGUAAUUUACAUGAAUUAUAAUUAUAAUAUCUAUUAAUUUUUCAUUGUUCAAAUAUAAAAUAAAAGAAGGAAGAAAAAAUUCCUUAGCUAUUCUCUUCAACUCUUUCGCCCUCUCCAACGUAACCCUAGCUGCCAAAUUUCCUUCAUGUUUUCCUAGUUGUUUAUUCGGGUUGAAUCCUUGUUCCCGCCAGACAAGUCUAUGAAUUGGUGUUUAUUUAGUUCUUUUGUUUCAUUCAUCUCGGACACAGAAUUAGUUUUUUCUUCAAUGACGAACGGAAUGCAAGAUAUAUUGACUUUAUUUUGCAGAGAUCUCAUUUUUAAAAUAGACUACUUUAUUUUUACAUCUCUCGUAUUUAGGUUGUAUAGAUAGCUUUCUUUUUUUCCCCCUUAAAUUAGACUAGUUUUCUUUGUUCAUUAGUGAUCUUUGUGUCUUUCUCGCUCCAGCGGGAGCUGUUCUUUCUAGAAUUGUUUCAGCAAAAGAUGGUGGCGGCGGCAGCGAUCUAGCAACAACAGCUCCGACAUCAACUGUAGCAGUUUUCUUUUUGUAUAAAGGUUAGUAAAGCAUUUCUUCAAGAGUUUUAAAACAGUUGUAUAUCAAAUAUUUAAAUUUAAAAUUUUAGUUAAAUUAGAAAAAACUCUUACCAUUUUAUCUAUGCAAUCUUAGGUACUAUAACAGUUUUCUGUUAUGUUAGAUUGAAAUAUUUUACUUUAUUGGGCUUUGUUUGGGCUAGUCUUCUAUAAGAAUACAUAUCUUUCAAAUUUUUCUUUUUUUUUUUUUUGAAAAAAACAUGCAACACAUUAGAUACUGUCACUUAAUUGAUUUUACAUCUGUAUAUAUAGUCCAACGCAAACCGAUAGCUUAAAAUUGAAAAUGUACCUCAAGGGAAUAUUUGCCUAAAGACCAGGGAACAUUUGUUUUUAUCUUUUCCAAAUUGAACUGUAUGAAAUUACAGCCUAAUUGCUUUUUUUUUUUUUUCAGAAAUAUAUAAAAAGCUAAUGAAUAGGAGCAGUUUCCCAUUGUUAUUUGGGUUGCUAUCUCUUUCAAUGGCAUUAAGCUAAGUAAUGAGUCCAACAGGGAAGAGAGAGCAAUGGCAGCGAUAAGAUUAUGCCUAGCACAUGGGAAACACUCGGUAAUGUCACAGUGUAAAGAUUAUACAAAUCUUUGUUUCCUAUCCGUUGAUAAAAAUACCCUUAUGCAGUGGUGGACCUAGUCUUCUUCAUUUCAGGGCAUUCUCCAAAAUUAGUACCAAUGACACCUGCAGCUGAAUAUUAAUUCUUAGGCUCACCAUAGUUUAUACUUCUCAUUGCUAUUUUUUUCUUUUCCUUUCCUUUAAAAUCAUUCUUCCAAUGUUUUAAUGAUAGAUAAACCAAAAAGCUAAAUAAUAAUAUAAUUGUUUUUUGUUAAGGGAGAAAAAAGAACAUAGAGAGAACUCAUCAUUAAAAUGAAAAAUGUUAUAGGAAGGGUCUAGAUGAGAACUGAGGUCUCCAUGUAGGUCCCUUAUUGCUCUUAUAUUUACACAUAUUUUUCCUUUCUUGUUUUAUAUCAAAGAGAGAAAGACUAUCUUUAUACAGAUAUAUUGUGCUAUGGUAUGAUUUAUCUCCACCUCUGAAGGGUACUUGAGAGUUUUGGAGAGAGUGGAAAUUUCUUCAUUAAUUGUCUAUCUCUCUCAAGUGAUUGAGAGCAUGCUUUGGUUUGAUGCAAAUUGCUUUAUCGCCAACAUAGCUUUUUAAAUUUGUUUCUCCUCAUUCACUAUAACUAUAAACAUGGGCAACCAAAUCCCUGGGGCAGGAAUGGUGACACUUGGUUUAUGCAUAUCAUUGUCAAUGGUGGUUGACGAAUGACUCAGAUGAUCAAUUGACCCACCACUACUUUGUUUUUCGCUUGAGGAGCAAAUUGAAUAAUAUUAAUUAUCAAUAUGUUAUGCAUAUCUCAAUGUUUAAGGACAGAUUUCAUUUGCAAUCCAUAAAAAUAUGUUUGUUUCUCAGCAUAUAUAAAUUCAAUUCAUAUCAAAGAAUCCAUUAUAAUUGGAUGUGAUGUCAUACUACCAUGAACCAUGUAAACUCUUAUAAAUAUUAAAUUUAUGAUGUUACAUUCUCUUUGCAGUUCAAAUUUUUCUCAAAAUCAGAUAAACAAAAUUUUAGUUAUACUAAAAUUAAAAUAUAAAGAGUUUUACCAUAUAAAUUUCAAUGUAUAAAAUUUAAAUCCGAAGACUCCAAGGGAAAUUUAUUUGAAUUUCUAUGAUUUCUUUCUUUUAUGUCAGAUAAAUAUUAGAGUGCCAAUUUGAAUUCAUGUGGUAAUAUUAAUGAUUCAGUCAAGUAAACCAUAUUUAGGUUGAACCUUAUGAUAAUUUUUCUUAACUGGGCCAGCCGACAGGAUUAAACCCUAGCUAAGGGAGCAAGGCAAGUUGAUAUUUGAGCUGAAAAAAAAUAUGAAUAUGAUAGAGCAAAAUCACAGCUAAUAAUUUGAAAAAAUAAAGAUAAAGUAACACAAAAUACACAAUAGAACACACAGAUUUACGUGAAAAACUCCUAAACAAAUUAGAGUAAAAACUACGGGCAAGGAUAGAAGAAUUUUACUAUAAGAAAAUAAUAGGAGUUACAAACUCUCUAUUUAUAAAGGAGAAAACAUUAAAAUUCUCUCUUUAUAAUAGGAGAAAAAUAAUUACUUAACUCUCUAAUAUUUUUCUCUUAUUUUUUGGAUGAUAGAAUAACAAGGUGAGGCCUCUAUUAUAUAGGCUUGCAUAUCCACAGUGCCCUUUUCCACUUUUUCACAAACGAAGUGAUACUAGACUCGUAUGUGCUUUGACUUUGAAUGAAAAGCUAGAUUCCUUGCGAGAUGCAAGGCACUCUGACUGUCACAGAACAGAGAAAUAUGCUCUUAUUCGUGCCCGAGUUCCUCCAUCAUCAUUUUCAACCAUACUACUUCCUUACUAGCUUGUGUAGCUGCUAUAUAUUCUGCUUCUAUUGUUGAUGUCGCCACAACUGACUGCAGUUUUGAUACCCAGCUCACAACUCCGCCAGUAAGUGUGAACACAUACCCUGUAGUAGAUUUGUUUUUAUCAAGAUCACCUGGAUAAUCUGAGUCAACAUAUCCUCUGAUAAUAAAGUCUGAUCCUCCAUAACACAAUGCAACAUCUGAGGUUCCCUUAACAUAUCUUAGGAUCCUCUUUACAGUAUUCCAAUGCUCUCUGCCAGGAUUCGCCAUGUACCGACUUACUACUCCCACUGCAUGUGCAAUGUCUGGUCGUGUACAAAUAUCGCGAACAUUAAACUCCCCACUACUGAUGCAUACGGUACUCGAGACAUUUUCAUCCUUCCUUCUUCACUGCUAGGACUCAUACUAAAGGAUAAUUUGAAACUAAUAGGAAGUGGGGUAGAAAUUGACUUACAAUCUUGUAUAUUGAAGCGUCGCAAGACCUUCUUCAAAUAAUUUUUCUGAGAAAGCCAAAUCUUCCUAUUGUUUCUGUCUCGGUGAAUUUGCAUCCCUAGAAUCUUGUUUGCUGGUCCCAAGUCCUUCAUUUCAAAUUCCCUAGCCAACUGUGCCUUUAGUUCUUCAAUAUGAUCUUUGUUGGGGCCUGCUACCAACAUGUCAUCUACAUACAACAGUAAGAUAAUAAAAUCACUUUUACCAAACCUUUUGAAAUAUGCACAAGGGUCUGCAUUAAGUCUGUUGUAUCCAAGGCUCAUGAUGAAGGAAUCAAAUCUCUUAUACCAACACCUCGGCGCCUGCUUUAACCGUAUAAAGAUUUGUUCAACCUAUAAACCAAAUUCUGCUUUCCUUUUUCUUUAAAACCUUCUAGCUGGAGCAUAUAAAUUUCUUCCUUAAGAUCUCCAUGAAGAAAAGUUGUUUUCACAUCUAGCUGCUCUAGAUGUAAGUCAAAUGUAGCACACAUCGCCAAGACUACUCGAACAGUUGUUAAUCGAACCACAGGGGAAAAUAUUUCGUUGAAGUCAAUCCCUCCUUCUGAGCAUAUCCUUUCACCACCAUUAUUGCACGAAACCGCUCCACUUGAUCAUCACUAUUUCUUUUAAUCUUAAAGACCCAUUUGUUGCCAAUGGCCUUUCUUCCUUGUGGUAGUGGCACAAGCUCCCAAGUCUUGUUCUUAUGUAGAGCUUCCAUCUCUUCUUGCAUUGCUGCCAUCCAUUGAGAUGCAUCUGAACUGCUCAUUGCUUCUUGGAGAGUUGAUGGCUCCUAUUUCUCAGUUAGAAGACAGUAUGUGACAUUGCUGCCUAUAUCAUAAUCUUUCUGCCAGGUUGGUGUAAAUUUUAUUUGUUUUUUCUUUCCAAGUUCUGACUCUUCAAACUCGGCUGGCUCUUCAAACUCGACUGGUUCUUCCUCUUCGUGCUCUGGUGCUGCUUCAGAAGAAUCUUCUUCUGUAAACUUUCUUUCCACCUGUAUAGUUGUAGUCUCUAAUUUUUUUUUUUUUUGAAGUGCUAUCAUCUUCUCCCUUCAAUUUAUCUUUUAAGAAGAUUACAUCCCUGCUGAUUAUAACCUUGUGGGCAGUGGGAUCCCACAGGCGAUACCCCUUCACACCAUCAGCAUAUCCCAAGAACAAACACUUCCUGGAUUUUGGAUCUAGCUUUGUAGUUUCUUGGGUAUUAUACAUCACAUAUACAUGACUUCCAAAUAUAUGGAGGUUUGAAUAAUCAACUGGCUUCCCAGUCCACAUCUCCAUCAGUGUAUUUUGAUCAAUUACUGUAAAUGGAGACCGGUUAAUCACAUAACAAGCGGUGUUAACUGCCUCAGCCCAGAAUGCCUUAUUUAGGCCUGCAGCUCCCAACAAUGCUCUAGUUCUUUCUAACAGAGUUCUGUUCAUCUGCUCUGCCACUCCAUUUUGUUGGGGAGUGUAUGUCGUAGUGAACUGCCUCUUGAUGCCUUCUUGCUUGCAAAAGCUAUUAAAUUCAUUACCUAUGUAUUCUCCUCCAUUAUCUGUCCUCAAACACUUGAUCUUAUUGCCUGAAUCAAGUUCAACCCGCGCUUUGUAAGUUUUAACAACUGCAAAUACAUCUCCCUUGCUCUUGAUAGGAUACACCUAACAUCUCCUGGAGUAAUCAUCAAUGAAGGACACAAAGUACUUAGCUCCUCCUAGUGAUGAAACUCGUGCUUGCCAUACAUCAGAGUGAACUAAUUCUAGAACAUCCUUGCUUCUAGAAUUGGAUGUAUUAAACUGUAGUCGAUGCUGCUUGCUUGUUAUGCAAUGCUCACAAAAGGGUAAUGACACAUUUGUGAGACCAGGAAGUAUAUUUUUCUCUGCAAGAACCUUCAUGCCUUGUUCAGACAUAUGUCCAAGCUUCUGAUGCCACACCAUUGCAGAUCUCUCGCUUGAACUACUUGAAGCAACAGAUGCUUCUGCUUUAUACACAGUCUCUCCCAAAAAUAUAUACAAAUUAGCAGCAAUUUUUUCUCCUUUCAUAAUUACAAGCGCUCCUCGGCUAAUCUUCAUGAUUCCUUUCUGAACUUUGAUAAUGCAAUUAAGAUCAUCCAGCUGUCCCAGAGAUAACAAAUUCUUCUUCAGACCUUCCACUUGUCGCACUCCUUGAAUAGCGCAGACUGUACCGUCAUGCAUCUUCAACCUGAUAGUUCUAAUGCCUAUGAUUUUUAAGACAUUAUCUUCACAACUAUACACAGUUCCUCCUAAGAUAGGUUCAUAAUGAUGGAACCAUUCUCUUCGAGAGGUCAUGUGAUAAGUUGCUCCUGAGUCAAGAAGCCAUACAUCAGCAAAUCUCUUCCUGCUCUCAGUUGAUAUUGCUGCUUCACAGCACAAUACAUUUCCAUCAUCCGAAGUGCAUGCCACAUUUCCUUGAGGAUUGGAAUUCUUCAGACUCCAACAAUCCCUCUUCAGGUGACCUUUCUUACCACAAUGGUAGCAUUUAUAAUUCUUCUUACUUUUUGAUUUUGAUCUACCAUGAUUGUGACUCCCAUUUGGACCACGUUCUGUUGAUCUCCCUCUCAUCACCAUCAAGGCUUCCACCUGUUGUGAACCUGCCUGCUUGUCUUCCUUGUUCCUUCGCCGAUUUUCUUCUUCAAGAAUAGCGGCUGCUAUAUCAUCAAAGACUAGAAUUUCGGUAACAACAUUAUUUGUCAAACUGAUGAUGAGUUGAUCAUACGAAUCAGGUAGACUUUGGAGUAGAAGUUCUGCACGUUCUUGUGACUCUAUUUUAUAGCCCAAAGAUGUGAGUUGGGAAAAUAGAGUAUUCAAGAUAUUAAGGUGAUCUGUCACUGAAGUGGAUUCUGACAUUCUUAAUGUAUAAAGUUUCCUCUUAAGGAAAAUUUUGUUAUGUAAUGACUUGGCCUCGUACAGUCUAGUGAGGUGGUCCCAAAUCUCCUUUGUCGUUUUCUUUUCUUCUAUAUUGGACAAGAUCCCAUCUGCAAAUGCCAGAUGAAGGUUUGCAAUAGCAUUUCCACCCAUCUCGUUCCACUUAUUAUCAUUUGUGAGUGUUGUCGGUCGUUCACUGAUAGCCGCAAGACAAUUGUCUUUUCUCAAUACAGCCUUUAUCUUUAAUUUCCACAGUGAGAAAUUACUCCCGUUGAACUUUUCAAUCUCAAAUUUUGCCGUCAUUGCUUCUAUCACAAACGGUGCCUUUUAGCUUGUAAAAUGAACCGCAGUAAUGAACACAACUCACUAGGUAAGUUUCCAGGAAAGACUGGAGGGUCACAAGCGGACCUCUUAAAUACCAAUCUCCUUAGACAUAACCUUCCCUAAAUUGUAAGUAUUCUUACUACUCCACACAAGCUCUGUUGCACCAAAGAAACCUAAAAAAAAAACCUCAUUUUAAUGUGAAAGAUCAAACUAAGCUGCAAUCACAGAAUUUUAAGGAAUUUCUUACCAACCAAGCUCUGAUACCAAUUGAAGAAAAAUAUGAACCUGAUAGAGCAAAAUCACAGCUAAUAAUUUGAGAAAAUAAAGAUAAAGUGAGACAAAAUACACAAUAGAACACACAGAUUUACGUGGAAAACCCCUAAACAAAUUAGAGUAAAAACCACAGGCAAUGAUAGAAGAAUUUUACUAUAAAAAAAUAAUAGAAGUUACAAACUCUCUAUUUAUAAAGGAAAAAACAUUAAAAUUCUCUCUUUAUAAUAGGAGAAAAAUAAUUGCUUAACUCUCUAAUAUUUUUCUCUUAUUUUGGGAUGAUAGAAUAACAAGGUGAGGCCUCUAUUAUAUAGGCUCGAAAGAUACCUCAACAUUGUUAAUUUAGCAAUGUGGGAGAAAUACUCCUCAAAAAAAUUAAUAACUUAACAAUGUGUGAGAGAUACAAAUCCCUAAAUAUCGGCAUGAGCUUGAUCAAAAAUAUAAUAAAGUUACAAGAAUAGUGCAGGCCGACUUCAUGUGCAGGAGUUGCAGAAGAUUUCAACAAUAAUAUGAGAGCGACCGGUCAAUUUAUGUUGGAUCAAACUCUCAUCCAAAUAAUAAGAAAUUGUACGUGUGAUUGUGUUAUUCGAAUUGUUACAUUUAUUAUAAUGCUUGCUAAUCAGUGGAUUGGCUAACAAAUCCACUGUUAUUUGUGAUAGUCAAUAUAGAAAAAAAAAAAAAAAAAAAAAAAAAAAAAACCAGCUUGAUCAAAUCAAGAGUUGCAUCAAAAUAUCUCCUUGUCUUUUCAUCUUGGAUAAGUGCCAAGAUUAAUCUGAUCCUAAUAGGCUCUUUUAUUUUGAUUGGAAAUCUAAUUUUAUCAAAAUGUCAAUUUCUUUUGGAACAAAAGAAUACAAAUCAUGUGUUGUUUGCAUCAGCUUAAUGGAUAAACAUGUAUGCUAAUUCGUUGAUAUUUAAAAGGAUUUUAAGGCAUAUCUUUUUUUUUCUAUUUAUGAAAUUAAAUUUUAGUUUAUGGGUAUUGAUUAUUGGAAUUAAAUAUUAAGUGCGAGCAAAUUUUUGAGUAAUAAUUAUAAAAAUCAAACUUUGAAAGAGAGCAAAUACUGCUAUCACUUAAAUUUUAUAGUAAAUGUUAUUGAUUUUUUAUUAGCCUAAGGGUUUCCCAAUAAUUAAUUAUUCCUCUCAAAUAUUAAGUAAAAUAAAAUUAGAAUUGAUAAAUUUAAAUAUAUUUAUAUUGUAUGAAAAAGAAUUUGUUAAUACUCAUGUGUAAUAGAAUGCGCGUAUGAUGUGUAUGUUUGUGUAUACAAAUAUGAAAAAUGAGCUUUAAAAAUCUAUACGAUGUUGUCCAUAGAUCAAAUUAUUUCGUGUAUUAGAUUUCACUUGACUCUCUAUGGCUCCAUUGUGUAUGCUCAUGAUUAUGUAAAAUGAGCUUUUCUAUUUAAUUUUUUUUUAUUUCUAAGUGAUGGAGAAAAAUAACCUAGUUGAAAAGUAAUGAUCAUUACGUCUAUAAUGCAUUAUAUAUAUAAAUUUAUGAAACCUAAAUUUUUUCACACGUGUGUUUAAUUUUUUAUAGAUAAAAUUUUUAUUUUAAUAUAUGUAUUUAUUUUUUACACAUAGAAUUCAAUCUUAUAUGUCAUUUUGUAAUUUUUAUUAAUUUAAUUAAUAAAUUACAUUCUAAUUAAAUACUAACUAUAAUCUUAAAAAAUAUCAUAUAUUAAUUAUGUUUUAAUAUUAUAUUAACUAAUAAAUAUUUUUCUAAUCCGAUAAUGAUACUAAUUCUAUCCUAAGAAAUAAUAUAUUAAUUAUAUUUUAAUAUUAUAUUAACUAAUAAAUUAAUUUUUUAACUAGAUAAUAAUUCUAAUUCUAAGAAAUAAUAUAAUUUUAAAAAAAUUAAAAAUAAUAUUUAAAAAUAAUUAGUUUACUAUUAUUCUUUAAAAUAUUAUAAAUAAUAUUAAACAUUAAAAAUUUUAUUAAAUUGUACCUAUGAACUAGGUUUUAUAAUAGAAAUAACGCAUGGGUAAACAACUAAUAUUUAGCUUAAAUUUUAAUAUGAAUUUGAAAUAUUUUAUUAAUAUGAAAAUCAAUUUGUGAUAUAUUAUAAAUUUAAUCUCAAUUUAUAUGUUAAAUAAUUUUAUCUUAUUAUAACAACUUGAAAGAAAUAACCUAAGAAUUAGGUUUUCAUUAUUGUAUUCUGAUUUUAAAAAGAGAUACAUCAGCCUUAUAUUUAUACUUAUAUGUAAGACUUUGAUAGAAACUAAAUAACAAACUCUUAAUAGCUAGACUCUAAAUUUAAAAGAUAAAUACUUAUCAUAUCCUAAAUUUAAAAGAUAAAUACUUAUCAUAUCCUAAAUUUAAAAGAUAAAUACUUAUCAUAUCCUAACAACCCUAACAACUCAAAAUCUCAACACUCCUCCUCAAGUUGGUGCAUAAAUAUCAUACAUGCUCAACUUGCCUAGACACUUAAAGAACAUGUGACUUGAGACUGCUUUGGUAAGGAUAUCAGCCAACUGAUCUUCAGAACAUACUUUAGGCAAUUCUAUGAUAUUCUCAUCCAACUUCUCUUUGAUUAAAAAUCUGUCAACCUCUACAUGCUUUGUCCGAUCAUGCUGUACUGGAUUAUAAGCUAUAUCACGUGCUGCUUUAUUGUCACAAUACAAUCUAACCGGCUGCCUCAGUGUGUAACCUAAAUCUUCCAAAAUUUGUUUUAACCAUAAGGCUUCACACACACCAACAGCCAUUCCUCUGAACUCAGCCUCUGCACUAGACCGAGCAACAACAUUUUGCUUCUUGAUUCUCCAUGUCACAAGAUUUCCACCCACAAACGAAAAAUAUCCUGCAGUUGAUCGUCUAUCAUCGAUUGAUCCAGCCCAAUCAGCAUCAGUGUAAACCUCUAUGUUUUGCCAAUCCAUAUGUUGAGUGAACAAAAUUUCUUUUCUAGGUGCAGACUUCAAAUACCGUAAGAUUCUUAUGACAGUAUUCAUAUGUCUUUCUCCAGGAUUAUGCAUGAAUUGGCUAACAAUACUCAAAGCAUACGCAAGAUCAGGUCUUGUGUGAGCUAAAUACAUUAAUCUUCCUACAAGUCUCUGAUAUUUUCCUUUAUCAACGGGUACUUGGUCUACCUCAAUGCACAACUUCAGGCCUUCCUCAACUGGUGUGUCAACUGGUUGACAUGCUGACAUUCCAGUUUCAUGCAAUCAAUCCAAUGCAUACUUCCUUUGGGACAGAAAAAUUCUUUUCUUUGAUCUUGAAACUUCAAUCCUAAGUAAAUAUUUCAAGCAACCCAGGUCUUUCAUUUCAAACUCUUUGGACAAGUAUUCUUGUAAUGCCUUCCUCUCUUCUGGAUCAUUUCCUGUAACUACCAUGUCAUCCACAUAGAUAAUGAGAGCUAUGAUCUUCCUAUUUGCCUUCUUUAUGAAUAAGGUAUGGUCUUCAUUACUCUGAUGAUAUCCAAAAGCUUUCAUAGACUUAGAAAAUCUCCCAAACCAUGCCCGUGGAGAUUGUUUCAGUCCAUACAACGAUUUCUUCAACUUGCAAACUUUCCUAUUUUGCAUUGUUGACAUACAUCCAGGUGGAAGCUCCAUAUAGAUUUCUUUGAAUAAUUCACCAUGUAAAAAAGCAUUCUUAACAUCAAACUGCUGUAAUGACCAACCCAAAUUUGCAGCCAAGGAUAAUAGCACUCUCACAGUACUGAUUUUAGCUACAGGAGAGAAGGUUUCAGUGUAAUCAAUCCCAUAGAUUUGAGUGUAUCCUUUUGCUACCAAUCUUGCUUUGAAUCGCUCGAUUGUGCCAUCUGCUUUAUACUUUAUGGUGUAGACCCAACGACACCCUACUGGUUUCUUUCCUGCUGGACAAUCAACAAGCUCCCAUGUUUCAUUCUUUUGCAAGGCUUUCAUUUCAUCGUUCAUUGCAGCUUUCUAUUUUGGAUCAGAUAAAGCUUCUUGCACACUGUUAGGAAUAGAUACAGUAGAUAAUUGAUUUGACAGUGACUUAUUUUAAUUCUGACAGGAUAUUAUUCGACACAUAAUGACUCAUUGGGUAUUUAACUUUACUAGAAAUUUCAGGCUCAUAACUAAGUUUAGGAAUACCUCUGGUGGAUCGUUCUGGUAAUCGUUUUCUCGGUGGAUCGGGUUCAAGAAUAGGAAUAUCUUCAGCAGGUGAUUGGCGUGGUAUUUCAGCUUGGGAUUCAGGGUCUUCUUCACCUGAGGACUCUUCUUCAAUCGAUGGAGUUAGAUCUUCUUGCUCAAUACGUAUCCCAUGAUUUUCUGAGUGAUCACCAACACCAUUAUCAACCACUUCAUACUCCUCCUGAAAUUGAUAAUCUAAUGUCUGAAUUUCUUCAUGUCUCUCCUCCGGAAAUUCAGACUCGAAAUACAUCACAUCUUCAUGAAAGACUACAUCUAUAGAUAUGAACAUACGUCGAGUUGGAGGAUGAUAACACCUGUACCCCUUUUUAUUUGUUGCAUAUCCAAGAAAUACACAUCUUAUUGCUCGAGGAGCAAGCUUAUGGCGGUGAUGUUUAUGAAUAUGUACAAACACUACACAGCCGAAGACAUGAGGAGGUAAGUUUGAUGUUGAUGGAGCAGUUGUAGUAUCAUUAAGAACCUGAAAAGGUGUCUGAAAAUCAAGAGUCUGUGAAGGACUUCGGUUAAUUAAAUACGCAGCAGAAGUAAGAGCUUCUCCCCAAUAUGAUAAUGGCAUUUUUGCAUGAAGCAAUGAGGCACGAAUAACUUCUAGUAAAUGCCUAUUCUUCCUUUCAGCUACCCCAUUUUAUUGGGGUGUAUAAACACAUGUACUUUGAUUGACAAUUCUAUUUUCUUCCAAAUAAUGCUUCAAUUCAGAGUUAUGGUAUUCACCACCAUUAUCGCUGCGAAGCACUUGAAUAUGUGCAUUAUAUUGAGUCUUAACAUGUGUAUGGAAUUUCUGAAAUAGUGCACUCACAUCACUCUUAGAUUUCAUUAAGCACACCCAAGUCAUCCUUGUGCAAUCAUCGAUAAAAGUAACAAACCAACGAGAUCCCCCCAAAGUUGAAAUUUUAGAUGGACCCCAAACAUCAGAAUGAACAAUCAUAAAAGGUAAAUGACCUCUAUUAAAACUUGAUGAAAAAGAGAUUCGAUGACUCUUGGCAAGUUCACAAACAUCACAACGAAAAAUAGAAACAUCAAUGUUGUUAAACAAACCAGAAAAUAACUUUUUUAGGUAGCCAAAAGAAGCAUGCCCUAGUCGUCUAUGUUGUAACCAGAUUUCUGCUUCAUUUUUUUCCUUCUUUGGAUCAUCCAAUGCAAACGCAUGAUGCAACUUGGAAGAAGUAUUCAAUUGCAUGUCCAAGUAGUACAAAUUCCCUCGCCUAAUACCACAGCCAAUCGUCUGCUUCAUUUGGAUAUCCUUAAAACAACAGAAAUUGGGCCAAAAAAUAACAAUACAAGACAAAGCUGAUGUUAUUUGGGAAACAGAUAAAAGGCUGUAAUUUAAUGAUGGAACAAUUAAAACUGAGUCUAAAUUUAAAGAAUUGGUGGCAGUAAUAGAUCCCUCUCCAAUAAUUGGAACCUCAUUACCAUUUGCUAUCAAAACAGAUUUUUGUAAGGAUGGUCUAAGUUUCUUAACUUGUCCAGAAUCAAAGGUCAUAUGAUUUGAAGCNNNNNNNNNNNNNNNNNNNNNNNNNNNNNNNNNNNNNNNNNNNNNNNNNNNNNNNNNNNNNNNNNNNNNNNNNNNNNNNNNNNNNNNNNNNNNNNNNNNNNNNNNNNNNNNNNNNNNNNNNNNNNNNNNNNNNNNNNNNNNNNNNNNNNNNNNNNNNNNNNNNNNNNNNNNNNNNNNNNNNNNNNNNNNNNNNNNNNNNNNNNNNNNNNNNNNNNNNNNNNNNNNNNNNNNNNNNNNNNNNNNNNNNNNNNNNNNNNNNNNNNNNNNNNNNNNNNNNNNNNNNNNNNNNNNNNNNNNNNNNNNNNNNNNNNNNNNNNNNNNNNNNNNNNNNNNNNNNNNNNNNNNNNNNNNNNNNNNNNNNNNNNNNNNNNNNNNNNNNNNNNNNNNNNNNNNNNNNNNNNNNNNNNNNNNNNNNNNNNNNNNNNNNNNNNNNNNNNNNNNNNNNNNNNNNNNNNNNNNNNNNNNNNNNNNNNNNNNNNNNNNNNNNNNNNNNNNNNNNNNNNNNNNNNNNNNNNNNNNNNNNNNNNNNNNNNNNNNNNNNNNNNNNNNNNNNNNNNNNNNNNNNNNNNNNNNNNNNNNNNNNNNNNNNNNNNNNNNNNNNNNNNNNNNNNNNNNNNNNNNNNNNNNNNNNNNNNNNNNNNNNNNNNNNNNNNNNNNNNNNNNNNNNNNNNNNNNNNNNNNNNNNNNNNNNNNNNNNNNNNNNNNNNNNNNNNNNNNNNNNNNNNNNNNNNNNNNNNNNNNNNNNNNNNNNNNNNNNNNNNNNNNNNNNNNNNNNNNNNNNNNNNNNNNNNNNNNNNNNNNNNNNNNNNNNNNNNNNNNNNNNNNNNNNNNNNNNNNNNNNNNNNNNNNNNNNNNNNNNNNNNNNNNNNNNNNNNNNNNNNNNNNNNNNNNNNNNNNNNNNNNNNNNNNNNNNNNNNNNNNNNNNNNNNNNNNNNNNNNNNNNNNNNNNNNNNNNNNNNNNNNNNNNNNNNNNNNNNNNNNNNNNNNNNNNNNNNNNNNNNNNNNNNNNNNNNNNNNNNNNNNNNNNNNNNNNNNNNNNNNNNNNNNNNNNNNNNNNNNNNNNNNNNNNNNNNNNNNNNNNNNNNNNNNNNNNNNNNNNNNNNNNNNNNNNNNNNNNNNNNNNNAUAAUAGGUUUCGAUCCAGAUGGUUCACCAUCUCUACCACUCAUGUUGUUUUAAGUGUUUCAAAGCCUCUCUUUUUUUGUAGGCUCUGAUAUCAACUUGAAAUAAAUAACCUAAGAAUUAGGUUUUCAUUAUUGUAUUCUGAUUUCAAAAAGAGAUACAUCAGCCUUAUAUUUAUACUUAUAUGUAAGACUUUGAUAGAAACUAAAUAACAAACUCUUAAUAGCUAGACUCUAAAUUUAAAAGAUAAAUACUUAUCAUAUCCUAAAUUUAAAAGAUAAAUACUUAUCAUAUCCUAACAACCCUAACAACUCAAAAUCUCAACAUAACAACCAUAAUUAUUAUAUAGAAUUCUAAAAAAUUUCACCAAUAUGCAUUUAGGGAAUAUUAUAAUGUGACUAAAAUAUAUAUCAAUUGAAAUUUAGUAGGCAAAUAAUCUUUUUAUCAAAGAAAGAAAGAAAGAAGUAACCUACAAUUAGCCAAACAAGUUAGUGGAGAAUGGAAAAAUAAUUUUAUUUAAUCUCUGAAUUUCUAUAUACAUAUUUUUAUGUAAGAAAUUUAGUGGAUGCAAUAAGGUUUUCAAAAAAAAGUUAAUUCUUAUUAUGCAUUAAUGGGAGGACUAACCUCAACAAAAUUAUAAGGAUUAGUCUUAAUAUAAGCUAGAGGAGAAAAUUUAGUUUUAUUACUUACAAUUAUGUAUUGAACAAAGAAUUCAACAAACAAAAGAUUGAAUCGAAACAUUGGUCAUUUUGCAUCAUUGUUUAAUGACUAGUAAGUGCCCUCAUUCUAAUUGCUUUCAUUUAGAUCAUGGAAUAGGCAAGUAUCCAGUAAUAGGACUGUUAAAUUCUAUAAUCAAUCAACUUAAUUUUCCGAAUGUAUUUUUGGAAAAUCUGAAUAACUCAGUAAAUAAUUUUGCUAAGCAUUUAGAAAAAUUGAUUCUAAAAUAGUGAAUUUAAAAAUUAUUUUCUUAAGAAUAAAAAGUUUUUGGAUUCUGUUACUAGGAGUAUGAGAAGGCUAAAGAGUCUAGAAAAUCCAAACAUAAGUCAGAGCAAUCUCUAAGUAACUCUUUGUUUUUGCCUUAGCAGUAAGAGCAGCUCUCCUUAAUGGUAUCAAGAGUCUCCGAUUAAGGUUGAGUAGAAAAUUUUUUAGACUUUUUGAAUAAAUUAAGAAAUUGAAAGACUAAACUUGAAAAUAAAAUUUUUGUUAAGGACUAAAACAAAGAUAAAAGAAAUUGAGAAAGAAAAGGAUAAAGAAGAAAAAUUCUUGUUUGGGCUUAUUAAUACCUCCGCCAAUACAUUAAACCAAUAGAUAAUUAAUAUAUAUUCGUUAAGUAUUCAAUAAUAAAGACUAUACCAAUCAUUCAUAGUACGUGUCACUCUCUUAUUUAUUGUACUAUGUACACAUAAUGUGGCGAUGCACUAUUUGCACCACUUGCAUUUGUGUGUUGCAUCACUCUUUCUCAAAAUACUUCUCAACUUUCUUCAAGUUUUGAAACUCUUUCCCCCAAAGAAAAAUUAACCAAUAGUUACUUUCAAAAAUAAGUUUGAAAAUAUCAAUUGAUAAAAACAAGAAUUAAUUCUUUUGUUUUUAACAUCCAUAAUCAUCCCACACAGGCGAUUAUUCUAGGCAGACAUCACAGACAAGAAAAGCUGUAGAAAUAUUUUCACGCAGCAUCUACCUUCAAGAUAGUAGAANNNNNNNNNNNNNNNNNNNNNNNNNNNNNNNNNNNNNNNNNNNNNNNNNNNNNNNNNNNNNNNNNNNNNNNNNNNNNNNNNNNNNNNNNNNNNNNNNNNNUUUUCUGCUUUGUGUCAAAAAAUGUCAUUUAUAUUAUAUGUAGCUAUAAAAGCAAAGCAAAGCAACAAAAAGGAAAAAAACAAAAACAAAGAGCUUCUUUUGGAUACCUAAUUAUUGAUGAAAUCUGUAGAGAUUUUUGUACAGGGUGGUUUCGAAGAUUUCUUUCCUAUUUAAUAUAAUCUAAUUAAUUACCAUGCAUUGCAUUAAACUUUACCGUUUCUCUUUUUUGUAAAGUAGUUUUGUUCAUUGUUUCCAUAUACAGAAACUAUCAUAAUUUCGUAUAGAUUUAAGAGAGAUAAGAGUUUAUUAUUAAGUUAGUAAAAGAUAAUUCUUUGACCUCACAACCAUAUCUGUCAAUAUUAUUUUUUCUCCAAUCAUUUACACUAUAGUCAAAAUAUAUAAUAUCAGAGUUACAAUUUUAUAUGAACGAGUCUCAAUUCUUUUAUUCUAAAAGGCUUAGUACGUGCAUUAGUGAGCUAAAGAGAUACUCAACUCUCACCAAUAACAAUAUUGAUUUAAAAGGAAAUUCGGACUAAAAAUCUCUUAUAAUUCUUAAAAAUAAAAAUAUCGAGCAGAUUACUUAUAAAUUAUUAUUUUUUUAAAUAUAAUAAUUGGAUAUUUAAAUUAAUUAUAUAUGCGUCAAGAAAAUAACAGUAAAUGAUAUAAAAUUCUUGCUAGUUAAUAUUGUUGGAUGUAACAGUGAGGAAAAUUAAAGUAUUUUCCCAAUGUAAUAUUUUUUUUAAAAAUAAUAAUUGCAAUUUAUACUUUAGCUUUAAUAUGGUCAAACAUAUAUUUAAAAGGUUUAGCCACAAUUGUUAUGCAAAUUAUGGAAACUCCAACUUUUGCAAAGCAAUAAUUUGUUUGUCAUGUCAGAAAAAAGAAAAAGGAAAAUGGAAAAUCUGUCCAUUUUAGCUCUUUUCUUUCUAUAAUCUACAUGUCCAUAUGAGCUAUUUAAUUAAACAUAAAACUAAGCCAAAUGUGAUCUAAUCAGCAGUCUAGUGCUUGACAUGCACAUGCUGCAUGCAGCCAAGGAAAUUAAACAUUAAUUAGAUCAUGGCUAUCAUUUUUCUUUUUUCAAAAAGAAACCCAGAAUAGUAAUUGAAAAGAAAACAAAAAUUCCCAUCAAAACACUGUUCAAAUGGAACAUGACGAUGGAAAAGAAGUUGGAUAUUGGAAAUGCAGAGCUUUCCCUUUCAUUAUUAAUUUAUCCCAACAAAAGUGAUAUACAUACACUUGCAUUUCGCACCACGGCAACAUGGACUGCAAUGAUGCAUGAUGCUAUAGCCUUAAGAACAAAACAAAAGGACCCAUUAAAUUGGUGUCAAUUGGUUACCAAAAUGGAUACAUAUCAUAAGUAUCCUGCAAUUUUCCAUCCAAAGUAAGUGGUAGGACAUCCAUUUUUUAAGCGCACUGUUCCAUAUUUGGUACGGCCAUGUUUAACUUGAAUAUGGUAGAAUAUAUUUAUAUAAUAUUAAUUAUUAAUUUAAAAUUAAUGGUUAAAAUUUGUAAUUCAAUAAAAAAUUAUUUAUUUUUAAAAUUUUAAAUUUAAAUUUUUAAUAAAAUCGCAACUGUUCAAUUUCAUAUUAAAUAUGUAAAUUAGAAACGUGAUAGAAUUUUAAUCCAAAUAAGUAAAAAGAAAAUAAAAAUAAAGUUUAUAAGAAACAAAAUCGCUACAGAAAAUCACCUGUUGUACAGAAUCAUGCUAAAAGAAACCAAGAUUCCUGUGACCAUAAUUUGUACAUACUUUACUCUGCUUUUAUUUAGCCUACUCUGUACUGUUAAAAGAAAAUUACCACAGUAGAAAGAGGUAAAUUUUUGAAAUCGUUUUUUAUCCAGUACGGUCCCCGACGUCAUUACAAGUAAUCGUCGCUACUACUGCCUUCAGGCCUCCAAAAGAAACUAACUGCAAACCGUCACCCUGCAUAAUAAAACUCGAAAAUUAUACCCCUUUUAUGCCCCAUUCUGCUUUAAAAAAUUGUGGAAGGAAUCAUGACUCGCAAGGCCAAAAACUCACGUAAAUCUCUUCAAUUCUCCUCCAGGCAUGACUACAGUGAAAGCACUUCUCCAUCUCAAUCUCCCUAUGAUUCAAAUGAUGAUGAUGAUGAAAUUGAAGAUGAUGAUGAAGAACAGCCCAUAAUAUCAGAGUCCGUUACCAAUAGUCUCAAUGCUGACCAAUUAUCCUCAAGUUCUUACAGUAACUCUCAACCCAAUAAUUCUUACAUAAAUGUUGCACCAUUACCAGUCUUUCAUGGCAAUUCUAAUGAAUGUCCUAUAGCACAUUUAAGCAGGUUUGUCAAAGUUUGCAGAGCGAAUAAUGCUUCUUCUACUGAUAUGAUGAUGAGAAUCUUUCCUGUCACUCUUGAAAAUGAGGCUGCACUUUGGUAUGAUCUUAAUAUUCAACCAUAUCCUUCACUUUCUUGGGAUGAAAUAAUGUUGUCUUUUUUAGAAGCGUAUCAGAGAAUUAAAUUAGUUGAUCAAUUGCGGUCCGAUCUUAUGAUGCUAAAUCAAGGCAGUGAUGAAUCUGUGAGAUCUUAUUUCAUGAGAUUGCAAUGGAUUUUGAAGAGAUGGCCUGAUCAUGGAUUAUCAGAUAAUAUGCUUAAAUGGAUAUUCAUAGACGGAUUGAUGGGAAAUUUUAAAGAUUGGAUAAUUCCCCAUAAACCCAAUUCUUUAAAUGAGGCACUAAGGUUGGCUUUCAGUUUUGAGCAGGUUAAAAGCAUUAGAGGCACGAAGCAAAAGGUUGUGAAGUGUGGGUUUUGUGAGGGGUCCCAUGAGGAAAAUUGUUGUGUUGUUCGAGAGAAAAUGAGAGAGUUGUUCAGAAACAGUAAGAAGAAGAUGAUGAUUCCUAAGGAGGCAAGUGAGAGAAGCGAAGCCGGAAACGAAAUGGCAGAGAAUAAGGAUGGUAAAGAAGGAGAAGAAGAAGAAGAAGUAGAUGUUGGUGAUGAUAAAGAAGAGAAACGGAUGCUUAGUUCGAGCAAGACGGGGAAAAGCCCAUGCCAGUGUUCGAAACAUCAUUGCUGGAUGAAGAAAUUUGAGAGGAGUAACAGCGUGACAACAAGAAAUUCUGCUGCAGAAUGAUUUGUUUAUGUUUUUCGCUUUUUUUUUCCGAAUGUGUUUUUGUCUGCCCAAAUUUGGAAUUGUUCUGUAUCUCUGUAUGUUGUAAGUGGCAACUGAUAAAUUGGAAGGUGUUGAUAGAUAGCUCUAAUCCUUUGUUUUGCACUCUUGAUUCACAAUGAAAGCAAAUUAUCAACUAAAUUGAGCAGAAAGACAGGGGAGACAGAUAUAAAAUAGAUUCUCGGUUAAAACUUCUGUCCACACAAUUAAACUUUUGUACAUCAGAGCUGUUGAAUGAGAAGCUUCCAAGUGUAACUUGUUCAUCCAACAGCUAUGACAAUAUGUGCACUUCUCACCAGUUUCAUUGUCCUACAAGAAAUUAACUUCUCUCUCCUCAAAAGCCUUUUGGAAAAAUUGUUUAGCUACAGCUACUGCAACUUAUAAAUAUGAUGCCCUCCAUAUUGCCAUUUAUGGUUGAAAAUGUAACUUGGGAAUGGAUAAACAGAAAAUGGAGGUUGAAAAACAAAGGAGGGUCAACAACUAGUCGUUGUAGUAUAGUGGUGAGUAUUCCCGCCUGUCACGCGGGUGACCCGGGUUCGAUCCCCGGCAACGGCGUAAAUCUUUUUCAGCGUUCAACUUUCUAGUUUCAAGUUUAAUUUAAGAAAAAUUACAAAAAGGAAAUCUUAUUUUUUUAUUUUUUUACCAUAUUAUAUUUUUGAAAAAAAAAUAUAUAUUUUUUUUUAAGAAUUACACAGUAAAAAGGAUUUUUUUUUUUUUUUACUUUAAGAUAUUUCUAAGAAAUCUUUUCAAUUUACAUGGCAAUUUCAGUUUCUCUCUUCGUUCACGGAAAAACUGUUGUUUAAAAAAAUCAAAUUUCUCAUGCAAACAAUUAUUCCAACAACAGCAUUCAAUCUCCAGUUAAAAUUAGGAGGGCAUGAUGAUAACGUAAUUCAAUGGAAGAAAAGAUAGAGAGAAAAGAAUCUGAUAUUCUUAAUCAAACAACAAAUUCAAACCUUUAAGUACGGGAUCUUAAUGAAGAAGAAUAAGAUCCGGACACAGGAAGAAUAAUUCACACAAAGAGAGUAUUUUUAGAAGAAUGUAAUUCUAUUGAUAAUUUCAUUUCAGCUCCCUUUCCCCUUAUAUUCCCUUACAAUUCAGCAACUUGUUCUGUUAUAAAAGAAACAGAUUGUAAACUUGUCACCUCAUUAAUGUCACAUCAUUAAUCUAGUAACACAUGAACCCAAUAUCAUCACUACCAUUGCAUAUAGUCGUCCCUUCGAGAACAUUCAAUAAAAUUGGAAUAUGCACGAAUCAAAAACCGAUCUGAAUUUUUAAUCACCAAAAAAUUUUAAANNNGGCGUCAACUGAUUAGGGCCCUGAAUAUUGCUACUCAAAAUCAUCAUCUUGAUGUGAAGAUAGACCUCAUCCCAGAUUCCCAGUUCAUUAGUCAGACUGCUCAAUCAAACCGCCCAUUGGGUAUAAGAUCAUAGAAGGUAAAAUUUCAGCAUGAAAACACGACUUUAAGGCAUUAAAAGGGUUGAAAUAUUAUUAAACAUAAUACCAGUCUGAAUGAGCCUGUUGUUUUUUUUGCACUAAUACACCCACAAGGUUUUCUCAAGCUGCAACUAAUAAUAUUGAACACUUGUGUCCAAUAAAUUCGAAACACUUGUAGAUUGUUGUCUUUUUUGUUUAACUCACUUCACUUCACAAAAUUGCUCUGUCAAAUGCUAUGCAGCGCAUCGUGAAAUGGGUCCAUUUCCAUAUCACAGAAUACUUUCUGGAACAUGCAAUAUCAGAUUAUGGGCAAAUAUACAUACCUGCUCAACAUUCAGUUACAAGUAUUUUCAGCUGUACCUAUACAAUUUAAAGUCAUUGCCUCGGUUCUUAAGCCUACGUUAACAAACUAAUAAUGCAACUAUUCAUUAGUUAAACCAAUUAUAUCAGUAAUCACAUCUUGCAGUUGCGAAACAUGAGUCAAAAACUUGUCAUGGUGUUCACUAGAUUCAAAGUGAUUCUGCUGCAACUGGGAAAGGCCAUCACCAAUUACCUUCAGACCACUAUGGAGUAGUUCCACUCCCUUGCUGAUUCCAUCAGGGAGUUUUCUUCUCUUAUUGGAUUGGACGUCAACACCAACAUCUUCACAUUCCAUAGUCUCUAUCUGGAUACUUGAAAUCCUCUGAACCAUUUCUUUCAGCAUGAUACCUUCCUUCACAAGCAACUGAAGUUGUUCGAGGCUAGGACUAACAGUGAGAACAGCCAUUUCCUUCUCAAGAAAUGCCUUUAACUCGGACAUAAAUCUCUCUUCAUUUGCUUCAUUUCCUGACAUAAGAUCAUAUGAAAGAGCUGCAUCUUGAGGGACAAAUCGCCAUAGCUGGUUGCAAGAAGUACGAGCAGCAAAAUAUCCAAAUGCCGCAAUUGCAAGAUGAACAAGCGCCCAAUGUCGCUCCUUGAAUAGCAUGUGAUACAACUCCCACACAGCACAGCUCUUUGCACAAUUAUCACUCUCUGACAUAUCCAUGUCCCCAAGUCCUCCCAUAAAAAGCAGCAGGUAUGGUUUGCACUGAUACAAUAGAGGAUCAGAGGCUGCCGGCCCUGAGAUAAACAGGUUCUGAAGCUCCAGGAUAACUUCCUCUAUCUCAUCAGAUUUAUAUAGAUGCUUUAGAUUUGAGAUGAUCCCCAGUGUCUCAUUUAAAAGCUUAUGAUAAUGUUCCUUCAUUAAUUUGUGCACGGCAUUUUUGAAGUUGCGGAUAGUGGUAACUAAGAAGUUGAGGCUCUUCAUGUCAACAUCAGAUAUGCUAACCUGUCUACAAGUCAUGAAACUUCUGUUCAUCAUUUCUAACUCUAAAUGAUAGACGGGAUAAAUUUUGUGAGAAAUUAUCUGGCAUAGGCAUAUUUGAAACUCAAUGAUCACUAAAGAAAUUAUGCUUGCACUUGGAGACAUCCUACUGCAACUGCAUCUGUAUCUACACCUAUGUUGAUGAGAAAUUAUUGAGUGUGCCAAAUGCAUGGGCGAUACCGCAGACUAACAGAAUUAGUGGGCUCCACAUUGUGGCACCCACCUCUCAUCCGAGUGUGUUAACAUUUAUGCUUGGCACACCUAAUAAUUUCACCAAUGUCCGUGUACAUGACAAAGAAGAAAUAGGCACUUUUUUAUAUAUUUAACGCCGAAGGUCAAUACUAGCUAUUGUUACAUAGAUUUUUAUAUAAGCCUUGUAGGUUAGUCUAGUGAGUAUUCCUAAAUGGAAGACAAAGCAUUUGAUCUCAGCUAUGUUUUGGAACAGCCAUACAGAAAAGGAAUUGGUUACUCACUGUGACUGCAGAGAAGCUGAUAGAGUGAAAACUGGAAACCCAAAUACACCGGAACUGCAGGUAGUCGACAGUUUAUGACUAGAAGUUGCUGUGAAGCUAAAAUAAUCAGUAACAAUUUUCUGUUUAGCAAUACUUCUCAAGUUAUCUGACAAUGAAUUAAGAGGAAAACCUUCCAAGAGCAAAGCUAUAUACAUGACUGAUGACCAGUGAGAUUUCCCAUCACCAAUGACUGAACUGUAGACAUGGUCUACUAUAGAUGAAGACCCAUUCAUAAGAAGCGAGCAGAUUAUUCUUGCUAUUUUCCUCAGAGGAGAAGCAUGAAUAAGAACAGAUUCUGGAGAUGCUAGUAGCUUCAUUAAAGAGAGAAACUUAUCAAGAAUGCCAUUUACCAUGUCAGAUUCAGCAUGACGCGACCAAAAGCACCAAAGUUCCCUUAUCAUCUCCCAGCACAGAAAAUGUGGAUGGAAAAGAUUCUCAAGCAGAAAAGCCUCCAUCUCCACCCAACCGGAACUUGAAGACACCAAAAUCAUGAAGGUUUUUAAAGCAUCCAAAAGGGAAGAAAAAAUAGGCUGCCAAACCAGUUCAAUUGUUUUCCCACAGCCAUAUGAUACUAGAAUUUGCAAAUCAAGAAACGAAGAAUACACCUCUUCAUCAACUAAUAUAUCCAAAAGCCACCCAAGUUUUCUUGUUAGUUUGUUCCGGACAUCUUCUUCAACAUAAAUAGAAUACCUUAGUAAAGUAUGAAAUAAUGCAAUCCGACCUAGCAGCAAUAGUCUCUCUUGAGGUAUAGAUUCAGAACUUACAGAAAAGAUUUCAACCAUGGAAUUUAAGUGAUAAAAACUACUUAAAUCGCCAUGGAAAGAAUUUGAGCAGCAUUCAUCAGCGAAUAUCCAGUCCAAAAGUUCAAGCUUCUGCUCCUGGUUUACUUCAGUUGAAUUCAGUAAAGAAGUAAGCAAAUCGAUGGACGUCUUCUCUAAAAGUUCUGAGAACACUUCACUGGCAGUAUUCAAAAGCUUCUGAAAGCUCAAUAAAAUCCUGAAGGUUGAAAUCAUUAGGACACAGUGUGACACCUCCCUGUAUACGAGAUAUGCUUGGCAUGGAUAGAAAGAGGAUAUUUUUACUGCAUUAAUAAGAUAAAACUUGGCUGGAAGAAAUAUCCUUCUAGCUUCAGUCAUGGAAAUGGUUUCCUCCAAAGAAGACCAAGCCACGGCUGCACACUUAAGAGGUUCAUUGACAAGUGAAAUUAGGGUUACAAUAAUAUCUUGCACGCUUACCCCCUCGGUUAGCACUUCCUUGCCUUGCUGAAGCAAAGUAACCACACCUUUCCAUGAUACAUUGAGAACGGUUACCAGAUUUCCACCAUCAUUUGCUGCAAGGAUGCCCAGUUUAUACAAUUUCUCUAUGGUGCAUUUUGUUAUAUUUAUAACAUGAUUCCUACUAUUGACCACUUUCUGGUCUACGCUACUCUCUUCCUUCUCAAAUCUUGCAUCACAGGGAUCCCAAUUCACAGCUAGGAAAUACUCCUUGCAUAAUCUCAUCACAGCAUCAAUCACCAUCUGUGCAGCCUUCAGUACUUCUGUGCCACAACUGAUUCUCUGUUUGUAACAGGGAAAACAGAACCUUAGAAAUGGAUAAAUGUUUAAUUUUUUAGGCAAACAAAGAGCAGAAAACUUAUUGUUAAAUGGCGUGAUUAUUUAAAGCUGAAAUUUAUAUUUCCUGCAAGCUCAAAUACAUAUAUAAUUUUAGCUUUUUAUAAUAUAUAUUUUCCUAGCACAUAAAAGAUGCUCUGAAUGAAGUUAAUCUAGCAAUAUGUAUGUGAUUUUCUUUUUAUUCAAAUAGGUAUUCAACCAGCUCAGCCUUCACAAAUUCCAUGAUCCAAGGAUGAAAAGCAUUGAAACAAAAAGCAACAAGCAGCUACCUUAGCCUCUGAUACUACAUCCCUUGUCAAAUUUAGCUGUUCCAAUAUGAAUCUUUCAACAAUUACUGCAGAAUCAUUGUCAGUCAUGACAGGGUAUCUGGUCAAAGCUAUCAUGCUAGUGGCAGAGAGGCUUAAGAAAUCUAAAAGAACCUGCAAAAAGGUUAAUGUUUGUUAAAAGAAAUUUAUAAUAAAGCAAGCAAAUAACAUCUAUAGACCAGGUGAUAAUUUAAUUAAUUUAGCAAAUUGAUUGCUGUAAGCAUCAAAAAUCUUGAAAAAAUUCAAAGGGUCAUGGUUAAAGGUGGUAAGUGUUUGCUUUUAUUGGAAGCAAAAACUACAGAUCAAUUCAUAAAUCAAAAAGAUAAAAAGUCUAAAGUGUGAAUAAAGAAUGCUCAUCGUGGGAGAACUUGAAAUGAACAACUAAAAGAGAGACUUAGUUAAGCAAAAGACUACAAGUAUAAAUUCACGCCUGCAGUAACCCUAAAUGGACUGGCACGCAUAUAAAGAAGAACUGCAUGUGAAGUUACAGCGCGCAUCUUAUUGAUUAUAAUGUGAGAUUGACAUUUCAUGCACUUUCUAUAAAAUCAUAAAAAUAAAUAAACGUUGGAUUAAAACUAACAAAACGCAUUAAGAACUGAAUUAAANNNNNNNNNNNNNNNNNNNNNNNNNNNNNNNNNNNNNNNNNNNNNNNNNNNNNNNNNNNNNNNNNNNNNNNNNNNNNNNNNNNNNNNNNNNNNNNNNNNNNNNNNNNNNNNNNNNNNNNNNNNNNNNNNNNNNNNNNNNNNNNNNNNNNNNNNNNNNAGUACUAAUCACUGGGAACAAAAUGCAAAACUAUAUAAUUUUAAGUACUACUCAACGGCAAUAAUAAUUGAAGGAACUUACAUCUGAAGAUUUGAUGGCUUCUAGAAGAGUGUGGAAAUCGUUGUUGGAGCUGUGUCUCUCCAUUUUCGAACUGAUUGUGUUUUGCUCUAUGCUCCGGUCGUGAUUUUUGAUUUGCGCGCUGCGGUCUGAUAAUGGCUCGCGUUCCCGCCUCCGAAACCAGCAGGGUUUGCACUUUGGAGCCCGAAUAAUAGUAGCCUUGAUCUAGUGGUCCACGCUGGCCGAUUAUUAGAGAGUGAUACAUAGAGCGACUAUAGUAUUUAAAUUACAUCUUUUAUUAUUUAAAUAUAAAACAUAUAUAAUAGGUGUCUAUUAAAAAAUAAAUUAAUUCGCAAACAAAUAUAGAAAUUAAAAAAGUGAUGGUCUAGUUGAGUCAACUAACAUAAAGUAAUUAUAGUAUUUAAAUUAUAUUAAUAUCUUUUACUAUUUGAAGUAUAAAAUAACUAUAAAUAGGUGUAUAUAAAAAAUAAAUGAAUUACUUUUCAAAUAUUAUAAAAAAGAAACCAGUGACAGUUUAAUUGACAUCAAUUAAUGAUACAAGGAAAGUAAUUGUAAUAUUUAAGUUAUAUGUAUAUCUCUUACUAUUUAAAUAUAAGGCACUAGUGGUUUGCAAAAACUUUGCUUUUUCGCUCCGAAUGCCAGAUUAAAGGGUUGAUCGUCCUGUCAUUUUAUUUUAGAAUUUAGAGUUCCAACUACGAUUUGAUGAAUUUUUUUCACAAAACUUGAGAAGGGUUUAAAAUUUAGUUUCAAAAAUAUAUCAAAAAAUAAAUUACAUUACAAAUAUUUAUAAAAAAAAUAAAAUUAGAAAUUAUCUAAUUGAGGUCACGCAAUAGAUUAUAUGUAUUGAUUUUGUUGUUUAAGUAUAAAAUAUUUAUUUUUUGUCAAAAGAAGUACAAAAUAUUUAUAGUAAGUUACUUUUCACAUAAUUUGAGAAAGUAUAACAGAUAGAAACUCAUAUUUUACCCUUUUACCCUUUUAUUAUGUUUGCAAUUGCCCAUAUUUAUUCACAUUUUGUAUCCGUAUUUUCAUUCGUAUAUACAUUUGCCCUUUAUUUAUUGUCGUGAAAUAUAAAAAAAAUUACGAUUGCCCGUAUUUAUCCACAUUUUGUAUCUGCACUUUUAUUGUUAUAUACAUUUGCCCUCAGUGAAUUCUUUUUUUGAAAAAAAGUGAGAUUCUAAUUGGUGAAAUUUAAAAAAAAAAAAAAAGGAAAAACAAAAGGUGAUAGUCUAAUUGAGAUCAACCAAUGAAGCCAUGUUGAGACCAAACGGCACCGGCCUGUAAUCCAUCCACUGUCAAGAGCGGGAGGUGAACGCUGCUCUGUGAAACCAGCCUCACGCAGUACCCUCCCACUUUAGGGGCAGAAUAAUCCCAGCUUUCGCUAGGACUACAAGGCCCAACUCUUGACUUGGACUGGGCAAGCCAGCAAUUAGCCAAUUGAAUCCGACUCAUUGGCUAGAGCCAACAUCCCAUCACCUUAAAGCCCUCACUUGAGUUACAAGGCCACGUUACCGACCCCAGCUGAUUGGGUGUGUUUCCGGUAAGCUUAAAAAGAGAAAAGGAGAGUUGUGUUUUAGCAAUGUGGGAUUUGAAAAAUAAAACCCCCAAUGUGCUUUGCAUGCACUAUAUUAUGGAAAAUCUUGAGGCCAAAUAUGAUUCAUAACAGUUGAAAUCAAACAAACCCAUCGCGUUCCUAAACCUGUUCAAAUGCCCUUUGUUCAUCCUAUUUUCAAAAAAUUUGUCCUUCUUUUCACAAUUUUAUCACAUGUUAGUAGUAAAAGGUAACUAUAAAUUCACAAUUAGAAAUUUAAAAAAUGUGUUUGUAUAAGUGUUGUAAUUGAUACUCGAAUACGUUAUUCUAUGAAUUAGGUGAUAUCAAGUUUAGAACAGGAAAAGAAAGAUACAAAUAGAAUAUAUAUGUACAUAUUUUUAAAUUGAUUAUCAUUCUUCAACUUUUUUUCUUUUUGUUCUAUCUCAAUAAAUGAUGAGGUUAAGGUUUUUUGUAUGAAAACAUAUAUAUAUCACAUUAAAAAAAAUAUUACAAACGAUAAUCAAAUAAAUUUUAAAACAGAUGUAAAAUACUUAUAUAUAGUAUACAUAUUAUAUAGGAGUAAUUACUAUUUAUUUUUUCUAUUUUUUUAUAUUAUACUAAUUACUCCUACUAUUUAAAAGAUCUAUUUUUUUAUUUUUUUAUUUUAUACUAAAAACCAUUUCUGUUAGAAUUUAUGUUAAACAACCAUUUGACUAAUUGAGUACGAUUUUGACCAAAUUAAGUUACCGGUUAAAAUUAGACAAUAUCGACGUAAUUUGAAAAAUAAUAAUUCAAAAUUAAAUAUUGUGUAAGGUGUAGACCGAUCCAAGCUUUGGCUCGAACUUGAAGGUCCACUUCUCGUCUUGGAUUGGGCAAAGCCAGCAAUUAGCUACUUGGACACGGCUCAUUGGCUAGACCCAAAGUCCCAGCACCUCACAGCUCUCACUUGAGUUACAAGGCCACGUUACUGCCCCCAGCUGGGUUGAAACGUUUUUGGUAAUUUUAAAAGGAGGAAAAAUGAGUAGUGUUUUGAAAAUGUGGGAACAUUCUAAGUACUUAUUAUGGCAUUUUGAGGCCAAAUAUGCUUCCAUAACUCUUGAAUUAUGGCAGUCCAAAACAUGUUCGAAUGUCUUUUUGGUCAUCCUAUUCACAAAAAGGUUGCUAUCAUUUCGCAGUUUUACCACAUAAUUUCAUGAGUUGGUAGUAAAAUGCUUAGUGCAAAUUUG